UACGUAGGGUGCAAGCGUUUAAUCGGAAUUACUGGGCGUAAAGCGUGCGCAGGCGGUUUUGUAAAGUUUUGUCGUGAAAGCCCCCGGGCUCAACCUGGGAAUUGCGAUGAAGACUGCAAGGCUUGAAUCUGGCAGAGGGGGGUAGAAUUCCACGUGUAGCAGUGAAAUGCGUAGAGAUGUGGAGGAACACCGAUGGCGAAGGCAGCCCCCUGGGUCAAGAUUGACGCUCAUGCACGAAAGCGUGGGGAGCAAACAGG
rnacentral:rRNA from 1 species